rnacentral:rRNA from 1 species
AACGCGAAGAACCUUACCUGGGCUUGACAUGUGCCUGACCGGCGUGGAAACACGCCUUCCCUUCGGGGCAGGUUCACAGGUGGUGCAUGGCUGUCGUCAGCUCGUGUCGUGAGAUGUUGGGUUAAGUCCCGCAACGAGCGCAACCCCCGUCGCAUGUUGCCAGCAUUUAGUUGGGGACUCAUGCGAGACUGCCGGUGACAAACCGGAGGAAGGUGGGGAUGACGUCAAGUCCUCAUGCCCCUUAUGUCCAGGGCUACACACGUGCUACAAUGGCCGGUACAACGGGUUCCGACACGGCGACGUGAAGGCAAUCCCUUAAAGCCGGUCUCAGUUCGGAUUGCAGGCUGCAACUCGCCUGCAUGAAGUCGGAGUUGCUAGUAACCGCUGGUCAGCACACAGCGGUGAAUACGUUCCCGGGCCUUGUACACACCGAGACGAC